rnacentral:lncRNA from 1 species
GUGGCGGAGCGGCGGCGGAGGGGUAGCGGCGGAGCCGGAGCGGAGCCGCUGCAGAAAGCCAUCCUCUGAAGGGGUGGCUGUGCAGGUGGGUUCCUGGUUCCCUGUGCCCUCCUGCUGCCGUGCUCCUGGUCUGAUGCUGUGGAUGCUGUCUGCCAGACACUGGACACUGCUGCAGGCAGACUCUUGGGCUGCCUUUGAAGAAGGCAAACUCACCAGUCCUUAACCAAGUAAGAUGGAUGCUCUACAUAAAUUGAAGAUUUUGGUGAUGUUUUUGUCUCUGGCUACUUUCAUGAUCAUGGUGAUAAUGAAUGCUGGAAAUGCCACUGGGAUUUUCAAAGGUCUGUUCAGGACAACCCCUGGAAACAUCUCAGCCAAGUACAGCACAGAUUUCACACCAGCUGGCUGGACUUUCCUCAUCUGGAAUGUCAUCUACGCCUGGCAGCUCGCCUGGCUUCUCUACGCCUUGUCAGGGAUCUGCAGAAGGAAUGAACUUGGAUAUGUCUUCAUGAAGCCAGACUUGCUGCCAAUACCUUUUUAUGUGGCGUGGUGUCUGAAUAAUGGCCUCAAUGUUGGAUGGCUCUUUCUGUGGGACCGAGAAUACCUCCUUCCAGCCCUGGUGUUCCUGGCAGUCCUGUCCCUUACCACAUGUGCCUGCCUGUUUGUCUCCCACCGAGCCUUGAGCAUCCAUUCCUCGUGGUUUGUGAAGGCUAACAAGGCUGAGCUCUGGCUCAUCCGCAUUCUGGUGCAGAACGGGCUGGCUCUGUACCUGACGUGGACCAGCAUCGCCACGCUGCUCAACUUCGCCGUGGUGCUCAUCCACAAGUGGAACGUGCCCAGCGAGAAAGCGACCACUGCUUCCCUGAGCAUCCUGGCUCUCAGCCUGGUGAUAUGGUUUUAUCUAGAAAAUUACCUUCUCGACAAGUACGUCCGCUAUAACCUCACAGUCUACCCCGUGGUCAUAGCAGCUCUGACAGGCAGCGCCUGUGGGAACGGCUCCUUCUCAUCCCCACUGACCAACCACGUUUUCAUAGUUGUUCUGCUGGCACUGACGUGUUUGAUCUUUGCUGUUCGGCUGGGACUGGUUGUGUGGAGACACUGGAAGAGACCACUGGAAGCAUGAGAACCCUGAGGCCCAUCAGGCACAGUGACCUGAGACCUCUGGCACAUUGUGGGUGAUGCUUGAAAGGGAGAAAAAAGAAUUGGGCAUGUGCUGGCUCUUGUUCCUGUAUCCAUUCCCUUCUGCAUUUCUCUCUUAUUCUCUGUUCCAAAUGCAGAUGUCUUGUGUCCGCAAAUGUGUCUUGCUCCCACAUUCUCUCAGAUCAGUUACUCACAACCCUGUCUUGAGUUCCUUUGGUUUUAUCCUGGAAAAGUUCAGGAAAAGCAGCCCUGUGCAGCUUUGUGAUGCCUGGGCUGUGGCUCUCUUCUCCUGCCAGUGCAAGCAGGGCUGCCAACAGGCACCCAGCAGGCCUGCACACACAGUUUUUCCUGUUUUUCCCUUGGUAUCUCACUUUCUUGGAAGUGCAGACCCAAGUGACCUGUCCCUGGGGUUCCAGGUGGGAGAGCUGUCAUUCAUUGCCUUGGCCAUCAGGGCUGAGCAUCCUCAAGCCCUGGUGCUGUCAGCAGAUCUCCUGCAGGCAGCCACUGCUCCUUUCCUGCUUCUCUGCAGCAUGACAGGGGCAGAGACUAGGAUUUGACAUCUGCCUUUGCAGUGUCAGCUCUGCAGUUUGAUGUUCAAGGGGGCAGGGGGAGGGACUGAAGGUUUCUGACACAAAGGUGUUGGUGUUGCCUUUCCCUGAGCUGGGCACAGCUUGGGCUGGCUGGAUGUCUCUCACUGGGGGAGUUUGUGGCUACUCUGGAAGGAGCUCAGAUGUACAGAUGAGCUGGUCCCUGAUCUGGGGUGAAGCCUGAUGCUUCAAAGGAAGCCUGUUAAAAAAAAAAUAAAUAAAAAUUGAACAGGUAGAGCAAGUUCAUCCUGGAUCAGUGCCUUCUCAUGUGGCUUCACCACUUCUGAGUUGGGAUUAGGAAGCCUAAAACUGGAUUGACUGAAUUUUUGGACCACUGCCUUUCCUUCCUGUGCCUAAUUGAGAGCUGGUGGUGCCUCACAGGUGUCUGGAAAGUCUUGGCACCAGGAAGGUGCUUUCAGUGCAUCUUGCAGUAUUAUUAACAAAGCUAAAUUCUAAAAUAACAUGUGCUGUUGUUUACAUUUAGCAAAAAGCAAAAGCAGUGUAAUGCAUCUCCCCUCAUCAUUCUGGUGUGUUGUUUUUUUUUUUUUUUUCUAUUUUUUAAUUUUAAAAUAAGUCAGCUCAUUCUAUCACUCUGCAACUAACUCUGUAAAUCAUCUAAAGCAGCUGUCCUGGCCCCUUCCUCACUCAUGCCCAGGGCUCCAGAGUGACUCUGGUCCCUUGCUGGAAUCUCAUGGAGGUGAAGAGUUGGAGGAUGUAGAUUGCUAGGUAUGAUUUAAACUCCUUUGACCAGCACACUGUUCAUUAAGUUUCUAUUUUAUAGGCUCUGCCUCCCAAGAUCCCAGCUAAUAAAUUCCCAGCAGCCUCUCCCUAAGCUGCCUUCUUUAAUACAGGGGAAUUAAAGCCACUGGCAGGGGGAUUAAGGGGUCCAGGCAAGGUGAGAAGCUGCUGUGAGGCUGUGCAGCAGUUCAUGCAUGGCAGGGUUUUGCAGCCUCCCUCUUGCAGCAAGAGCACUGCAAAGAGCUCCUGGGCCAGGGCAGCUGCACUUUCCCAUUAAAAAAUGCCUUAUCAG